UUCAUGGACAACAACGAUGGCAACACUGCUUCUGUCAAGGCUAAGAUCAUGGCUCAUCCUCACUAUCACCGACUCUUGGCUGCAUAUAUCAACUGCCAAAAGGUUGGAGCACCAUCUGAAGUGGUGGCUAGAUUAGAAGAAGCCUGUGCAUCUGCAGCAGCAAUGGGUCCAACUGGUACGAGUUGUAUUGGUGAAGAUCCAGCCCUUGACCAGUUCAUGGAGGCUUACUGUGAGAUGCUGACCAAGUAUGAGCAAGAGCUAUCAAAGCCCUUGAAGGAAGCCAUGCUUUUCCUCCAGAGGGUCGAGUGUCAAUUCAAAGCCCUCACUGUUUCCUCUCCAAAUUCUGCUUGUGGUGAGGCCAAUGAAAGGAAUGGAUCAUCUGAAGAAGAAGUUGAUGUGAACAACAACUUCAUAGAUCCCCAGGCUGAAGAUCAGGAACUGAAAGGUCAGCUACUGCGCAGGUACAGUGGAUAUUUGGGCAGUCUCAAGCAAGAG
rnacentral:misc_RNA from 1 species